rnacentral:lncRNA from 1 species
ACGGCUUUCUGAAAGAUUUAACCCUGCAGGGGUGCUCCAACUAGUCCAUCACAAAUUACCACAAGCCGCAUAGAAAUCCUCAAUCACGAAGCUCGCGAUCUCGUCGGAUUCCCUAGUGGAAAACCUCAACUCUGAGAUUACCCAAAGCAUCACCGGAAUCCCGAUGCACAAGAUAUCUCGUUAAAGGUAAAACUAAUCCAGCAAGGCCGCCCGACGUGUCG